UACGAAGGGGGCUAGCGUUGCUCGGAAUCACUGGGCGUAAAGGGUGCGUAGGCGGGUCUUUAAGUCAGGGGUGAAAUCCUGGAGCUCAACUCCAGAACUGCCUUUGAUACUGAAGAUCUUGAGUUCGGGAGAGGUGAGUGGAACUGCGAGUGUAGAGGUGAAAUUCGUAGAUAUUCGCAAGAACACCAGUGGCGAAGGCGGCUCACUGGCCCGUAUACUGACGCUGAGGCACGAAAGCGUGGGGAAGCAAACAGG
rnacentral:rRNA from 1 species